GACUCAUUAUAUUUGACCAACUGUAAUGUGACUAAAAUAUUUUAAAUCAUUAAGACAUUUGAUGAAAUUAAAAAUACUUGUGUUCUCGUGACUGGUAGAUUAGUGGCAACAUUGCUGCUGUUCUGAUUUGGUAAGAUCUGUCCUGAAACACUGAUGGGAAUUAAUUAAACUUGGUUUGUAAAUUGUGAAUGUUCUUAUAUGCCUAACGCUUAGCUGAGUUUCAUGGUCGCUUAUUCUCCCUAUUCUCCUAGUGCUAUACGUAGAGUAUUCUAACAGAAGGUUCAUUCCACGUUGGCUCCUGUCCUGGAUGGGAAUCCCUGUAGGACACAUUGUAACAGAUAUGAAUGAAUGAGGUGAUGGCACUGUUAAAAUGGAUAAUAAGUAUAUUACACAACUGCUCCAAACAUAC